rnacentral:rRNA from 1 species
GAUGAACGCUGGCGGCGUGCCUAAUACAUGCAAGUCGAGCGAACAGACGAGGAGCUUGCUCCUCUGACGUUAGCGGCGGACGGGUGAGUAACACGUGGAUAACCUACCUAUAAGACUGGGAUAACUUCGGGAAACCGGAGCUAAUACCGGAUAAUAUAUUGAACCGCAUGGUUCAAUAGUGAAAGACGGUUUUGCUGUCACUUAUAGAUGGAUCCGCGCCGCAUUAGCUAGUUGGUAAGGUAACGGCUUACCAAGGCAACGAUGCGUAGCCGACCUGAGAGGGUGAUCGGCCACACUGGAACGGAGACACGGUCCGGACUCCGACGGGAGGCAGCAGUAGGGAAUCUUCCGCAAUGGGCGAAAGCCUGACGGAGCAACGCCGCGUGAGUGAUGAAGGUCUUCGGAUCGUAAAACUCUGUUAUUAGGGAAGAACAAAUGUGUAAGUAACUAUGCACGUCUUGACGGUACCUAAUCAGAAAGCCGCGGCUAACUACGUG